CCUACGGGCGGCAGCAGUGGGGAAUAUUGCACAAUGGGGGAAACCCUGAUGCAGCGACGCCGCGUGAGUGAAGAAGUAUCUCGGUAUGUAAAGCUCUAUUAGCAGGGAAGAAAAUGACGGUACCUGAUUAAGAAGCCCCGGCUAACUCCGUGCCAGCAGCCGCGGUAAUACGUAGGGGGCAAGCGUUAUCCGGAUUUACUGGGUGUAAAGGGAGCUUAGACGGGAGCACAAGUCUGGAGGGAAAUGCUGGGGCUUAACCCCGGACCUGCUUUGGAAAUUGGGCAGCUAGAGUGCAGUAGAGAUAAGUGGAAUUCCUAGUGUAGCGGUGAAAUGCGUAGAUAUUA
rnacentral:rRNA from 1 species